UUUAAUUAUCUUUUAACAGCCGUUUUCCUGAGUAGUGUGAGAUGCCAACUUCCUCUCGUCAGGUGGCGCGUUGCGAACCUAAACAAAUUCUUUGCUCUCGACUGAGAUAACUACAAUUUUUAGACUUCAGCACUGUCUACCAAGGACAUGCCAGAACCAAAUGUUUUUAAAGAAGUGUUGCCCAAACAGGGCCUGCUAUACCAGGAGGACACUCCAACAGUGGUUCUGUGUAAACCCAAACUGCUCCCUCUGAAAUCUGUCUCCCUGGAGAAAAUGGAAAAAAUGCAAAAGGAGGCACAAGAGACAAUAAAACAACAGGAACUGGAGGAACAAUCACAGCAGUCUGACCUUUUAUAUGGAGGAUUUUAGAUGAAAUAACAAUGGGAUCAACUAGUUCUAAAGUCUUAUGGGAUUGUGAGGACUUUUAAAUAACUGAUGCAGCAUAAAGAUUCAACAUUAAAUUCCAAGUCAUCUUAUUAUGGAAGAAAUUUUUCAAAGAUUUCUGUAGGUCUGUUGAUCUUAUCUUCCUCUUCAGUAAAGCUCAAAGUUACACUGGAAUGAUGUGAUAGGAUUAAGCAGUAGCUGGUCUCCUGCUAGUUAUCUCUCCUGAUGAAUCAUCUCCAAACUGGAUAACACAUAUUUUUUUUAACAAUAACUAUUGAUAUCAGUUUGACUUUGAUCUGAAAAUGGAAUUGUCAAGGAUAUUUCAAUUUUAACAACAGUACAUUUUAUAUGUAGUAAAUGUAUUUUAGUACAAGUGUACUGAAAUUUAACUGUCACCAACUUCUAAUGAUUUUGUUAUUGAUGACACUUGUACAUUGUAUUAUUGUACAUAAUACAAAACAUCUGUAUGUAAAAUAAUAAAUAAGUUAUUUAAUUGUU